ensembl:piRNA 21ur-15391 ncRNA
UACAGUGGAAUUCAAAAAAAA